UAUAUUGUUUUUUUAUUGGGGUGGUGCAAAAUUAACUUUUAUGAAAAUUUUUCAUUUUUUAUGAUUUUUUGAUCUUAAAUUUUAGAUAUUAAGAUAAAAUUACCUUAGGGAUAACAGCAUAAUUUUUUUAAAAAGAUCUUAUUAAUAAAAAAGAUUAUGACCUCGAUGUUGAAUUAAGAUAAUACUUAGGUGCAAAAUUUUAAGUAUUUAGUCUGUUCGACUUUAAAUUUUACAUGAUUUGAGUUCAAACCGGUGUGAGCCAGGUUGGUUUCUAUCUUUUAAUAAUAU
rnacentral:rRNA from 1 species